GUAGGUGGCAAGCGUUGUCCGGAAUUAUUGGGCGUAAAGCGCGCGCAGGUGGUUCUUUAAGUCUGAUGUGAAAGCCCCCGGCUCAACCGGGGAGGGUCAUUGGAAACUGGGGAACUUGAGUGCAGGAGAGGAAAGUGGAAUUCCACGUGUAGCGGUGAAAUGCGUAGAUAUGUGGAGGAACACCAGUGGCGAAGGCGACUUUCUGGCCUGUAACUGACACUGAGGCGCGAAAGCGUGGGGAGCAAACAGGGAUUAGAUACCCGUGGUAGUCCACGCCGUAAACGAUGAGUGCUAAGUGUUGGGGGGGUUUCCCGCCCCUCAGUGCUGCAGCUAACGCAUUAAGCACUCCGCCUGGGGAGUACGUCGCAAGACUG
rnacentral:rRNA from 1 species